rnacentral:misc_RNA from 1 species
AAAGAUGGCGGCUGCGAUUGAAACGGCUGUGAGUCAAGGGAGGAUUGGUAUAAAACAGGUCCGGGAGCUCAAAGAAGCGAGCGUUGAUUUAGACAGCAUGAUCUCAGAACGGUUGCGUGAGAACCUUUUCAAGAAAACCGUGGAGGAGAUUUUCUCCUCGGGUACUGGUGUAUUUGAUGCGGAGGAGGUUUAUGUGACGAUCCCGGCAGAUCUUAGUAUUGACGCUGAGAAGGCGAAAGGAGUUGUCCAG